CUGCGGUUCCCAAGAUAGCGCGCCCCGGCCUGGCGGCGCGCCAGAGCGGCGGGCGGCUGCCGAUAAGGGCCCGCUAUAAAGGGAGGCCCCGUGCGCCCAGAAGCCCUUUGGUGGUCUGCGCUCCCGUGGUGGCUCUCCUGGAUGGUUCGCUCUCUUCCUGGAUUACUGCUGUGCGCAUCGUGGCCCGCUCUCGUCCGCGGAUAUACGGACACAUUAGCUGCCCCGCUCUUUCACUGUCCCUGCCGUCGAGCACUUAUGACCUCCCUUCUCGAACGUCACGGUGCCCCGCUUCGUUGCUCCCAAUGGACCUGCGCAGCUAGCUUCUCUUCGGCUAUACAACCGUAACAAUAACCGGCGAAAUGUCAGGACCGUAACGCGAGCCGGCACAAACGUUCCGGCCGCUACGCUAACUGUCGACAACCUUUUCUUUGCAGCGUCGUUCUGCAUUCCGCAUGGUUCCCACCACUCGCUGCCUGUUGCUUCCGUCGCCGCCGUUUGACUCGCUGCAUUUCACGGUAUGUGUCACGUCGCGGAGGGUGGGUCAGUUGCAGCGUUUGACGCGGCGUCAGUGUAAAACAUGGCUUCGGUUUUAAACGCGACGGAGGUGGAGCAUUCGUGUCGUGCCUCUCAAGAGCCAGCCUGUUGGCUUGGCCACUGAGAGAUCGCACUGUCGGCAAGAAUGAAAUUAACGUGGUACAACAACGAAAGGCAGUGCAAGAGGCCAUCUGAGUGACGUACUACGUGUGUAUACUAUUUCCGGGAAAAGUUGGCCGUGAUGCGGAAAGGCUUGCGUAACAGCAGCGCAAUGUGUUUCGCCAAGUCACAGUGUCGAUGUAUUUCUCCCUAAAAUGACGGACAGAUAUGGGGCAUGUUAUUCGGAGUGUUCCGGGCGGCUCUGCCGUCGAGAUAAUUGAUACGUGAAACCUGAUACAGAUGGCAUGCCGAUUGGUCUUGUGUCGCUUUUUUUCCUCCGAGGCGCCGUACUCUGUAACGAUACUCGUUUUCUGUCAAUUUUGCUCUUCGUCAAUGCGGCUGGCAUUGCAUCGCUGAGCCUUCGGAAGCGACGUGCUGUUUUUAGACCCCACUGAGGAAGCGCGCAGCAUCAAGCCGCAGGCUGCAUAGCGGCGCCUUUCUUUCUUUGGGCGACCUUAGCGGCGCCCUCGCGGAGCCGGCGCGGAAGAACUGCGCCGUCGAAACCAAGGCCACCGCUGAUAACACGACGUCGCGUGGGUCGCGUCACGAUCGCUUCGGGGGUGGCAGGGUUAUCAGCGGACCUUUCGGGAGGUCGAGUGAACGAACCGGAGUGAAGCACGCGCCUCUGGACGAUAAGCACGGACCACGCGGAAGAUACAUGCGCUGCUGCGUCACUGGAAACAAACAAGGCUCGCUAAUUCGGGAGCUGCUGGCAUCGAGAGCUUUCCCGCCGCUGCUACUCCAGGCCCAGAUGAUCGCACUAGACUGACCGAGCCUAUCGCAGUUGACGAGGGCAAACGAACGUACCGAGGAGCUCGUACGGAAAACCCACGCUUUAAAAACGGCCCUUCGUAGCACGCGUGCGUCACAAAUAAAGAAGAGUCCGAAUGCUCUAUCGCGCCUUUUUCUUCUUUCUUUCCUUGUUUUCUUUCUUUUCACGCACGCGGCGCGAAAUGAUUCGAAUGUCAUAGCGUCUUGCUGCAGCAUUUUUGCGCGAGGGCGUUUUCCUAACAGCCUGUUUUCAGUACAGUAAACCUAUUAGCGGCAAGGAUUUUGAGUGGCGCCCUCUUACGAGGGACGUCACGGCCAGGAUGGCGCUCACUCCGGCUCGCUCGGCAGCCAUCGAACUUAAACUACAGAUAGCGGCGGAUAUGGUGGAAGAGUAUGCGGCCAGCAUAGACUUGGUGUGCUCGCCACAUAAAUCGGAGCUGUUAAUCAUUGAGCCAAAACAUCAAAGAGGACACGCUGGGAGCAGCAGACCCAUCAAUGUUUUCGUAAACGGAAAUGAGGUUCCCAAGGUGGAGAAAAUCAGAAUUCUGGGCAUGUAUAUCCAGAGAAAUGGAUGCAACCUCACGACAAUCAAAAAGCUAGAAGGAUAUGCGGCGCAGGUCACGGGGAUCUUUAGGAGAAUUUUACUCAAAGGCAGGGGCCUCAAAGAGAACAGCCUCCUCAGACUCAUGCAAGCCUUCAUUACCAGCCGUAUAGCGUAUGCCACACCGUAUCUUGUGUUUAAACGAGAAGAAAAGGAGAAAAUAGAUGUGAUCAUUAGGAAGAGCGUUAAGAGAGCCCUAGGGCUCCCAGACUCGACCUCGACAGACCUCCUCCUCUAAAUGGGAGUUCACAACACGCUAGGAGACGAAAAGUUGCGAGACCGGUUUGCAAGUCCAGUUCACCGGACCGGACUGCGGAGAAAAGGCACAAGAGCGCCACAAGGACUGAUGAACGACGCCCAGGAAUCUACCAACUACGAACCAAGGGUUCGACACCCCUGAGGGAAAUUCUGCUUCUGAAAAGCUGAUUCCUCUCUCAGUGGAUCCUGGUCCCUACGCGUCGGGAUCUUCCUCUCCCGAUGGAGAUGCUGUUACGCUUGGCGUGUAACACCCCGGGCAAAUAGGAUGCUCCACCACCAUGCCUCAUCGAAACGAAGGGUGGAUUCCUAAUUUGCUGUGGUUGACUCGAGUGGUUACCUGUCUGGCAGGUGCACCGCAGUACUUACAGGCCCCUUCGUAUUUGUACAUGCCUAAGCGAAACGAAGAGUGGAUUCCUAAUUUGCUAUGGUUGUCUCGAGUGGAUGCCGGUCUAGCUGACGCUCGCAGUGUUCACAGGCCCCUUUGUGUGUGUGCGUGAAAACCCUUUCCGCGAACCAGCGACGCGCGAAAAAGAAGGGAUCAGCUGCCUACGAUCACCAGGACCCGCGAGUUGCCACCAGCAGAGGCAAGCUCGGGAAAAAACAUCGUGAAAGUGAAAACAUUGUGAAAGUGGGUGCCGCCGCCAAGCACCGUAGGAAUCAGUGCAUGUCACGUGACGUUGACGUAAGCAAGGUCCCGCCUACCAUUUUAGUGGUCCUAUUUAAAGGGCCCCGUAAUUUACUUUUUCACUUCAUUCUCUUCUUAUCUUUCACCAACCAUUGAAUAAACCCUACAAGUUUCGCACUAGAA